rnacentral:misc_RNA from 1 species
GAUGAAGAACGCAGCGAAAUGCGAUAAGUAAUGCGAAUUGCAGAAUUCAGUGAGUCAUCGAAUCUUUGAACGCACAUUGCGCCCUGUGGUAUUCCGCAGGGCAUGCCUGUUCGAGCGUCAUUUCAACCCUCAAGCCCCGCUUGGUGUUGGGCCCCGCCCGCCGUGGCCGGCCCUAAAGACAGUGGCGGCGCCGCCUGGCCCUCAGCGUAGUACAGCUCUCGCUCCAGGGUCCGGCGGCCGCCUGCCAGAACCCCCCCAACUCUGUGGUUGACCUCGGAUCAGGUAGGGAUACCCGCUGAACUUAAGCAUAUCAAAAGCGGAGG